rnacentral:rRNA from 1 species
GAUGAACGCUGGCGGCGUGCCUAAUACAUGCAAGUCGAGCGAACAGAUGAGGAGCUUGCUCCUCUGACGUUAGCGGCGGACGGGUGAGUAACACGUGGAUAACCUACCUAUAAGACUGGGAUAACUUCGGAAAACCGGAGCUAAUACCGGAUAAUAUAUUGAACCGCAUGGUUCGAUAGUGAAAGACGGUUUUGCUGUCACUUAUAGCUGGAUCCGCGCCGCAUUAGCUAGUUGGUAAGGUAACGGCUUACCAAGGCAACGAUGCGUAGCCGACCUGAGUGGGGGAUAGGCCGCCUUGGAAGUGGACCGCGGUCCUUGCUCCUACGGGAGGGCGCAGUAUGGUACGUUCGGCAGCGGGCGAAAGCAUUACGGAGUGAGCGGGAGCGUGAUAUGAAGGCGUUGGGUUCGUAAAACCCUGUUAUUAGGGAAGAACCAAUUUGGAAGGAGCUGUGCCCGUAUUGACGGUAACUGAUCAGAAAGCCCCGGCUAACUACGUG